GACGUAGGGCGCGAGCGUUGUCCGGAUUUAUUGGGCGUAAAGAGCUCGUAGGCGGUUUGUCACGUCGACUGUGAAAACCCGCAGCUCAACUGCGGGCCUGCAGCCGAUACGGGCAGGCUAGAGUUCGGUAGGGGAGACUGGAAUUCCUGGUGUAGCGGUGAAAUGCGCAGAUAUCAGGAGGAACACCUGCGGCGAAGGCGGGUUGCUGGGCUGACACUGACGCUGAGGCGCGAAAGCGUGGGGAGCGAACAGG
rnacentral:rRNA from 1 species